UCCUCUGCGUAGUAUAGCACACCUCGCAACAGGAGCCCGGCGAAUGGCCACUGCCGUAAAACCCCCCAAC
rnacentral:rRNA from 1 species